GAAAAAAAAAAAGACCCUCCCAAAAACAAAACAGGGAUCCAGCCAGAAAUCUGUCCGUCUCUAUACGGCAAGGACACACACGUUGUGAACCAAGGCAUGCAAUGUGUUUCAUUAGCACAUAAAAGGCUCCCGCGGGGAAGGAGCACGGGCGCGGGGGUGCCGCCGCCGCUUUGGGGUGCCCCCGCCUCCCGCCGCGCCCCUCCCGCCCCGGCGGGUCCCGGCCCCGGCCCCGGGCGCGGCGCGGUGCCGUUCGGAUGCCCGCUCCCGGAGCGGCCUUUCCCCGCCACCACCUUCCCCCACCCUUUUUUUUUUUUUUAAUUAAUGUAUAUAUUUUUGUUCCUUUUCCCUUUCCUCUGGCCUAGUUCACGUUGAAAAUGCAAGAAUGGGGAGUUGAGGGAGAGGAGCCGGGGUGGGGGGGGGGGAAAGAGAAAAACCAAAAAUAAUUCCCCACGCUAGACGUUAUUUCUUUUUCUUUACACCCUCUGGCAUUUUUCUCUCCCCCUCCCCACGCAAGUCGCCCGCCCUCAGCCUCGCUCCAAGCGCAUCCUGCUCCUGCCGGUUUAAGCAACCGUGAUCUGUGAAUAAACAAAGUCAGUAAACAAAAAAAAAAAAAAAAAGAGAGAAAGAAAAAAAGAAAAAAAAGGGGGGGGAAUCUGGAUCCAAAUUCCAGGAGGGUAAACUUUCAACACCACGUCAUACUUCAGCAAAUUUACACAGAUAUUAUAUUGCGUCCCUUUCCUUCCCCCCCCUCCUCCUUUUGAGCCAUUGUGCUUAACUGAAUUUUAUAAAGCUGAUCGAUAUCUUGGUAAAAUAUUCAUUUUUAAACUAGCGGGCAGCGAAAUCUUUGCUUUGUGCUAAAGUCAACAGUAGCACAGUUUCAGCUCCAAUAAAUGCGGGGAUGCUCCCAGCCCCCGCAGAGCCGGGCCGGCGGCCGGGGCGCAGGUAGGUGACACCCGCCGCUCCUUCUCCUCCUUCUCCUUCUCUUUUAACUCCCACCUUCAGCUUCUCUUCCAGCCCUCCUCCUCCUCCUCCUCCUCCUCCCCAGCUCGCCCUAGAGCCGGCGGGGAGAGCGGGCCGAGGGCAGCGGCCCGGUGGGGUCGAGGGGGCGCGGGGGGGUGGAUGCUCCCCACCGCUUCGCCCCCGCGGCUGGUGGGGUUUUUUUGGGGGUGUCCUGACCCCCCCGCUCCUCUCCCAGCCGAGGAGUCGUUUUAAAAAGGGGGAAAAACCCGCGACGCCGAGCAGGGGAAGGGAGAAAACGGGGUGUUAUCUGGGGACGCGGGGGGAGCGGGGUGCGGCGGGGUCCGGCCCGGCUGGCAGCGCCGAACCUGCCCUUUUCAGCCCCAAAACCCCCGGCCCAGGGGGCGAGUCGUUGCGGCUCCCUCGGAGGAGGGUGGGCGAGGGACGGGGUCGUGCGGGACCCGCCACCCGCCCUUCUCCCGCUCCCCGCGCCGGACCCUUGGGCUUUUUUUUACUUUUUAUUAAUUUUUUUCCUUUUAUUCUUCCCCCCCCCACCCCCGCCUUUUUUUUCCCCUCCCUUUCGUGGUCCUCCCCGGACUCUUUUGUUCCGGGCUGGGAGCGACCACGCCGUGUCCGCCCCGCGGAGGGGAAUUUCUCCCGUGUCCGUGUCACCGGGGAAGCGCCGCUGCCGGUACCGCUGCCGGUACCGCUGCUGGCCCGCCUGCCUGCACCCGCGUGGGCAAAAUUAUAUAUAUAUAUAUGUAUAUAUAAAUUGGGGGAAAAUAAAAUUCCCCCGUCCGUAUUUCCUCGCGAGAGGGGAAACCGGGAGUUUCGGCGGGGGCGGCGGCCCUUCCAGCACCGGACACGGACACGAGUGGCAUCGCCCGGGCGGGGCAGGAGCGGCACGGGGGUCUCCGGGGUGCUUCCCGCGGGGGCUGGAGGGCGCGGGGAGGGGCGGGGGGGACACACGGGACGUGGCCCCGGGGCAUCCAUGGAACGCGGGGGUGGGGGGAGCGGGGGCGUGCGUGUCCCCGCGCGUGUCGCCGGCCGCGCGCUGUUGCGACAGGUGACAUGUCGCCGGCGAGAGGGGCAGGCGCCCGGCUGCUAAUGGGCUUUCAAUAAUUCAUACCAGCCCGGCCCGCUCGUAAUGCAGCCCCGCGCGCUCGCCAAUUACUUGUCAUUAAAGGCCUGUCGCCCCCGCGGGGAGGGGGACGCGAGUGGGAAGGGUCCAUCCCCGGCCCCGCCGCAUCCCGCAGCAGCCCGCCCCGGGGGUCCCGGCCCCAGAAGGACGGAGCAGCCCCGCGGGGCCGGGGGGGACCCCCCGCUCCCGGGGCGUCGGUACUGAUGGGGCCGGGAUUGGGGGGCGGGGGGGGGGGGGGGCACGGCCUUUCUGCCCCCCCCAUCCCAUGCCUAUUUUCCCCCGAUUCCCGCAGCCGAGCGUCCCCAGCCUCCUCACCCCCCCCCCCCGGCCCGGUUUGCAUUUCCCCGGCGAACAGCGGGGCAGAGCGCCGGGCUCCCCUCGGCCCUGAAUUCCCCCCAAACACUGCUUCAUUUUGGGGGGGACCGAGCGGCAGCCGAUGCCGGCGGCCGAAAGGGCGGGGGGGGGGCGGGACACCCCGUCUGGGCAACCCCGCGGCGACGGGGUCCGCCGGGCUGAGCCCCCCAAACCGCCCCGAUCCAGCAGCUCGCCUUCCCUCAGUUAUUUAUAUCUAUAUAUAUACAUCUAUAUUUCGCCCCCCGAUUUCCCAUUCCCGGGGGGGCUGCAUGAAGGGGGGGGGCAAAAGGCACUUCUUUAAUUGUUCGGGCCCCUAUUGACAUGCAGCCGUGGCUCAAAAGACAUCAAAGCACAAAGAAGGUGGCACAGCCAGCAGUUUGACGGGGAAGCCCCGCGACUCGACGCUGGGCAAAGGAGGGGUCGCUGCCCGCUCCCAAACGCCCCCCCCCCGCAUGCCAGGGACUCCGGCGGUGCGGGCAGCCGCCGGCCCUGCCUGCCCUGCCCGCACCGCCGGCGGGACUGGAGGCAAAAGUGCAUUUAUUGAUGAUCUUUAAAAAAAAAAAAGAAAAAAAAAGAAAAUAAAAAGAAAAUAAACCAAACCCGACACCGGACAACUCGGGGGUGAGAUGAGUCUAAUUAUUGCUGGUUCUAAAAAGAGCUGGAACACCCAAGUAGGGCUUAACUCGUCUCCUGGGAAACUGAUGGAGACCUAUUUUACAAGCUGUAAUUCUGCUUUAGACUAUUGCAGGCUAAAGGCAGUUCACACUAUCCUCUUUCUUCUAGAAAUAGUCCUAAUCCUAUAUUUCGGCCGGGUAAAGUCCGCUUCUGCUCCGCACUAGAUUAAACCAGAAACCACAUAAAACCAGGCAGCGGGGAUUUCUGGAGCCAGAUCCCUGCUGCUGGGAGAUCUCUACUCGUUCAAACUGUCCACCUCUGCCGGCGCCAUCCGUGCAAGGCCAGAGCGAGGUGCUCACCCCUGGCUGGGGAAGGAGCAGCUUUCUACACGAUUUUGACUCACACAAGCAGUAGAAAAAAAAGAGCCUUAUUCCUCCGCUGCUGGAAAACAGCUACCAGGUGCCAACAGCACAGAGGGGUGUAAAUGUGCUGAUUUUACUUCCCGCCCUGGUACCGAAGGCAUCGAUAUUGAAGGAUUUUGAAGACCCUGAAAUGCUUCGCUUGUCACUGACAGCCUUCUGCAUGCAGCAGAGCGGCCGCACGCUGCUUUGCUGGCUGCCUGCACUUACGCUCCCCUUCGCUCUCCGUUAUUUAUUUUAAUAAUGGCACAAGGAAUCAGUGUCAGGGGUGGCUGGGGCAAACUUCUGGGCCUCACCGAGUGUGCUGCUGCCGUGCAUGCAUCCCCUAUUAAAGGCACAGAUUCCCAUCUCC